AAUCACAAAAUGUGCCAGUUAUUAAUGAAUACAUGACUACAGUACAUCUGUGCUCAGCCUCCAGCGCAGAGUAUGGACAACAUGCCCUGUUAUGGUUCCCUGAGUACUGGAGGAAGAAGAAAAUUAUGAGGCAAGAGGAAUCGCUGGUGCUGUGUAGAUAGCGUUGCCCAGGUGACAUCCCAGGCGCCCCUGCUGGUCGGCCCGGACGACUGAACAUCCGUUCAGGUGAUCGGAAGCCAAGCCGGAAGUGAGGGACCCGGAAGCCGGGUGGUGGCGUGACAGGGACGGCUGGAGGUGCGCUGGAACAGCGGUUGCCCAGGUGACAUCUACGAAUUUGGGUUUCUAUGAAUUUGUGAACAGAUCACACAUGCUUUUUCGUGUUUGAAGAAUAAGCACUUCACCGAACAACUGAGAACAUCAUACAAUAGAUUAUUACAAAUGAAUGUAUUACUCAAUCAACAUGUGUGAUCCUUCUAUUUAUGUUAUGGAAGUUUAUAUGA